rnacentral:rRNA from 1 species
UGGCGUUGACUCCAAUUGAACGCAGGCUUCACCCCUUGUGGUGCUCCCCCGCCAAUUCCUUUAAGUUUCAUACUUNGCGUACGUACUUCCCAGGCGGCAGACUUAACGGCUUCCCUGCGGCACUGCAUUGGCCACAAGCCAAUGCAUCACCGAGUCUGCAUCGUUUACAGCUGGGACUACCCGGGUAUCUAAUCCGGUUUGCUCCCCCAGCUUUCAUCCCUCACCGUCGAACGUGUUCUGGUACACCGCCUUCGCCACAGGUGGUCUUCAAUAGAUCAAAGGAUUUUACCCCUUCCUAUCGAGUACCGUGUACCUCUCCCACUCCCUAGCUGUACAGUAUUUUCGGCGGCCUAUACGUUAAGCGCAUAGAUUUAACCGAAAACUUAUGCAACCGGCUACGGAUGCUUUAGGCCCAAUAAACCUCCUGACCACUCGAGGUGCUGGUUUUACCGCGGCGGCUGACACCAGAACUUGCCCACCCCUUAUCCACCAGUGAUUCUACAACUGACAAAAGACUCCUUUAGCAGGAGACACUCGGAUUAACCUUGUCGUGCUUUCGCACAUUGCAAAGGUUUCUCGCCUGCUGCGCCCCAUAGGGCCUGGGUCCGUGUCUCAGUACCCAUCUCCGGGNCCCUCCUCUCAGAGC